GAAUUACGAAACGUCAUUACUCAUUGUUGGCAAGCGUAUAUGCAGAGGUUAUACGACAGUAGAAGCAAGUCUGCCUUUCGGAGACAACAUUUCUGCGCAACAGAAAGUAAAAAAAAAGAAUUGUCAGAAGUGGGAUUCGAACCCACGCCCACAGAAGUGGACUGCGACCUGAACGCAGCGCCUUAGACCGCUCGGCCAUCCUGACUUCGUGUUGGUCUGCGAGUGAUUAGGGCUCGAUGAGACUCAAGACUCGAAUUGCAUGGUCGAACAAAAUUCAAAAUAGAGCAACUUUGAUUUAACAAAUGCAAUAAUCGGCUUCGCAGAAGGUAUCAAAAUUUAAAAACUAUGAAGAGCCUCACAGAGAUACGAGUCAAACAAAUUGAGGAUAUUAUAUGUGGAAAUUAUAAUGGAGUGUCUAAAUAAACUUGAAGAAACGAAAACAA